AAAAACAUGUCUGUGUGAAUUAGUUAUAAAGUCUAGCCUGCCCACUGAUUGUUUAAAGGGCCGCGGUAGUUUGACCGUGCGAAGGUAGCAUAGUCAGUAGUCUUUUAAUUGAAGGCUUGAAUGAAGGGUUGGACGAGGGGUAAGCUGUCUCCAUUGCAUGGCUUGAAUUUAACUUUUGAGUGAAAAGGCUUAAAUUGUUUAGUGGGACGACAAGACCCUAUAAAACUUAAUAUGGGCUUAGCUUGAUUUGCAAUUUUGGGUGAAAAGGUGUUUUGCUUGGCCUAUAUUUUGUUGGGGAGAUGUAGAUAUAACGUGUAACUGUCUGUUGAAUUUAAUAGUUAUGAUUAGUGUGUGAUCCUUCAUUUGGGGAUUAGGAGAGUAAGUUACUUUAGGGAUAACAGCGUGAUUUUCUUUGAGAGUUCUUAUCGACAAGAGUAGUUGCGACCUCGAUGUUGAAUUAAAGUUUCAGCUAGGUGUAGCCGUUUAGCUGGUGGGUCUGUUCGACCUUUAAAAUUUUACAUGAUCUGAG
rnacentral:rRNA from 1 species